GACGAACGCUGACGGCGUGCUUUAGACAUGCAAGUCGAACGAGAAAGCCCUUCGGGGUUAGUAAAGUGGCGAACGGGUGAGUAACACGUGGGCAAUCUGCCCUUCGUAGGGGGACAACCGGGGGAAACCCCGGCUAAUACCCCGUAAGCUUGUCGGGUCGCAUGGCCUGACAAGGAGAGGUAGCUUCGGCCAUCCGGCGAAGGAGGAGCCCGCGGUUCAUUAGCUAGUUGGUGAGGUAACGGCUCACCAAGGCUACGAUGUAUAGCUGGUCUGAGAGGAUGAUCAGCCACACUGGGACUGAGACACGGCCCAGACUCCUACGGGAGGCAGCAGUCGGGAAUCUUGCACAAUGGGCGAAAGCCUGAUGCAGCAACGCCGUGUGAGCGACGAAGGCCUUAGGGUCGUAAAGCUCUGUUGUUAGGGACGAAGGGCGAAGGGUUAAUAGCCCUUAGCCUGACGGUACCUUUCGAGGAAGCCCCGGCCAACUACGUGCCAGCAGCCGCGGUAA
rnacentral:rRNA from 1 species